rnacentral:misc_RNA from 1 species
GUUUCGACUGCUCUUCCCUGUGGGUCGCCUUCCAUGAGCAAGCACUUCUUCGACAACGACGACGACUGUGACUGCCCACGGCUGUGAUGAGUCGUCGUCGUCGUUGUAAUAUGAUCUCUGCGACUGACUCUUCUAUCGCUUCUCGGGUUUUGUUUUUGUUUUUUGUUUGCUGGCUUUUUCUCUCUCCUCACGCCCUGCGGCCUUUUCUUGUUGUUGGCGGAGGGAGGGAGAGGUUCUUGUCCCUUGCUCUUCGUUGUUUGUCGUGUGAUGUCAGCGGUGCGUAGCGUCCUUCUUAGUGACGAUGAAGACAAACGCCCGUAUACGCCAAGCGAGUGAGCGGUAGACAAGCAAAGAAGGAAGGCGGAAGGACUCUUCAAUGGUAAUGUGUGGCCACCCCCCCCACCAGCCCACCCACCCACCCACCCCCCCCCACACACACUCACACGUGUAUGGAGAGGGGGAGGGGGCAAGGGACGACGCAUGAGAAUAAAGGAACCAACAAAAUGUUCUUUAUUUUUUUUGAUUUGUAUAGAGAAAAAGACGGGAAAAAAGCGAAAGGAUUCGAAAAGCCGCGUGGACGCCAGCCCUGCAGACGCCCGUGACUUCUCUUGGUUUGGACUAGAGUCCUCUCUUCCUCACUCUCCGUCUCCCUCGCGCUGGCUCAUCGUUCUCUGCGCCUGGUCGGGCAUCCGUGCGCAUGCGGAGAGAGAGAGGAUGGCAACGCGCCACGCCGUGUGUGUGCGUGCGCGCGCAAGCCAGCUCUCUUUUUAUCCUUUCAAGCUCCCUCCCUGCCCAGUAGCCUGGGUUGAUGGACGUGGAGGACACCUGCUCUCCUCCUUCGUUGUAG